CAUCGAUCUACUGUAGGAGCUGCCGAAGGCUGCGAUCUUUUGCUGUCAAGGGUGCGACUUGGCCGUCAGUUGUUCGCGGCAAUAAUCGGCGA
rnacentral:tRNA from 1 species